CCAAAAGAUUCGAUUAAUUAUGAAGAACUCGUAUAAGGCAAAUUGGGUCCGACGUCGCUGGGGGCCGCAAUGGCGGCCGCGGUAUCGACUAAGUUGACAGUUCAGAUUGCUGGUGGGGAUUGCUUUACACAUGCAAGACGAACGGCCUGACGGGAGUUUGCUCCUGGUGUGGAGUGGGGAACGGUGAUAAUGAGCGGAGACCGAGCAAUGGGGGAUAACGCGCGAAAGUCGCGCUACUAUCGCAUACUUCCUGAGGGGAAAGCAGGGGAUCGCAGACCUUGCGAUAUUCUAGCGGCUGACGUCUGAUUAACUAGUUGGGGAGGUAAUGGCUCACCAAGGUGACGAUCGUAGCGGUUGAGAGGAUGAUGCACCACACUGGACUGAGACACGGCCCAGACUCCUACGGGAGGCAUCAGCGGUAAUUUUGACGUGGCCCAAACUCUGAUCGAGCCAUUCCGCGUGAGUGAAUCUUCUGGUUGUAAAAUUUUUCUGUGAACGAAUCACGCUCUAUAUAUAGCCUAAUGACGAACGCAACUACUCUUUAACUACUUGCCGGGCCUUUUAUUUGUCUCCACGCUAUCCAAUCCUGGGCGUAAUUGUGUCCUGGGAUCCUAACCACUCCUGAAAGCCCGGGCUAAACCGGGGAAUCCUUUCACAUGCUGCUAAAUCGGGGCGAAGGGGGGGAAUUUCCUGGAGUAACAAUGAAAUGAAGGAAAGUUGAAGACUUUGGCGAGGGCGUCUCCCGGGGAUACAACCGGCCCCCCAGGAAGAAGGGUAGCCAAACAAGGCAUUAUAUCCGGGUAGUCCCUCGCCUUUAUAGUAUCUCUGGGGGUAGGCGGGUAUUAAUUCCCCUCCCU
rnacentral:rRNA from 1 species